rnacentral:rRNA from 1 species
GAUGAACGCUGGCGGCGUGCCUAAUACAUGCAAGUCGAGCGAACGGACGAGAAGCUUGCUUUUCUGAUGUUAGCGGCGGACUGGUGAGUAACACGUGGAUAACCUACCUAUAAGACUGGGAUAACUUCGGGAAACCGGAGCUAAUACCGGAUAAUAUUUUGAACCGCAUGGUUCAAAAGUGAAAGACGGUCUUGCUGUCACUUAUUGAUGGAUCCGCGCUGCAUUAGCUAGUUGGUAAGGUAACGGCUUACCAAGGCAACGAUGCAUAGCCGACCUGAGAGGGUGAUCGGCCACACUGGAACUGAGACACGGUCCAGACUCCUACGGGAGGCAGCAGUAGGGAAUCUUCCGCAAUGGGCGAAAGCCUGACGGAGCAACGCCGCGUGAGUGAUGAAGGUCUUCGGAUCGUAAAACUCUGUUAUUAGGGAAGAACAUAUGUGUAAGUAACUGUGCACAUCUUGACGGUACCUAAUCAGAAAGCCACGGCUAACUACGUG